CCUACGGGAGUCUGCAGUCGAGAAUCAUUCACAAUGGGGGAAACCCUGAUGGUGCGACGCCGCGUGGGGGAAUGAAGGUCUUCGGAUUGUAAACCCCUGUCAUGUGGGAGCAAAUUAAAAAGAUAGUACCACAAGAGGAAGAGACGGGUAACUCUGUGCCAGCAGCCGCGGUAAUACAGAGGUCUCAAGCGUUGUUCGGAAUCCCUGGGCGUAAAGCGUGCGUAGGCUGUUUCGUAGGUCGUGUGUGAAAGGCGCGGGCUCAACCCGCGGACGGCACAUGAUACUGCGAGACGAGAGGAAUGGAGGGGGAACCGGAAUUCUCGGUGUAGCAGUGAAAUGCGUAGAUAUCGAGAGGAACACUCGUGGCGAAGGCGGGUUCCUGGACAUUAACUGACGCUGAGGCACGAAGGCCAGGGGAGCGAAAGGGAUUAGAUACCCCAGUAGUC
rnacentral:rRNA from 1 species